ensembl:rRNA 5S_rRNA 5S ribosomal RNA
CCACCAAACCAUACCACCGUGUAUACCAGAUCUCGUCUGAUCUUAGAAGUAAAGCAGGCUUGGGCCUGGUUAGUACUUGGAUGGGAGACUGCCUGGAAAUAGCAGGGGUGAUGCGGUGGC